rnacentral:rRNA from 1 species
GAGCGAACGGGGAGGAGCCCAGAGCCUGAAUCAGUGUGUGUGUUAGUGGAAGCGUCUGGAAAGGCGCGCGAUACAGGGUGACAGCCCCGUACACAAAAAUGCACAUAUUGUGAGCUCGAUGAGUAGGGCGGGACACGUGGUAUCCUGUCUGAAUAUGGGGGGACCAUCCUCCAAGGCUAAAUACUCCUGACUGACCGAUAGUGAACCAGUACCGUGAGGGAAAGGCGAAAAGAACCCCGGCGAGGGGAGUGAAAAAGAACCUGAAACCGUGUACGUACAAGCAGUGGGAGCCUCUUAAUGGGGUGACUGCGUACCUUUUGUAUAAUGGGUCAGCGACUUAUAUUCUGUAGCAAGGUUAACCGAAUAGGGGAGCCGAAGGGAAACCGAGUCUUAACUGGGCGUUAAGUUGCAGGGUAUAGACCCGAAACCCGGUGAUCUAGCCAUGGGCAGGUUGAAGGUUGGGUAACACUAACUGGAGGACCGAACCGACUAAUGUUGAAAAAUUAGCGGAUGACUUGUGGCUGGGGGUGAAAGGCCAAUCAAACCGGGAGAUAGCUGGUUCUCCCCGAAAGCUAUUUAGGUAGCGCCUCGUGAAUUCAUCUCCGGGGGUAGAGCACUGUUUCGGCAAGGGGGUCAUCCCGACUUACCAACCCGAUGCAAACUGCGAAUACCGGAGAAUGUUAUCACGGGAGACACACGGCGGGUGCUAACGUCCGUCGUGAAGAGGGAAACAACCCAGACCGCCAGCUAAGGUCCCAAAGUCAUGGUUAAGUGGGAAACGAUGUGGGAAGGCCCAGACAGCCAGGAUGUUGGCUUAGAAGCAGCCAUCAUUUAAAGAAAGCGUAAUAGCUCACUGGUCGAGUCGGCCUGCGCGGAAGAUGUAACGGGGCUAAACCAUGCACCGAAGCUGCGGCAGCGACACUAUGUGUUGUUGGGUAGGGGAGCG